GAGAUGGUGUUGGACUUAAUUAAUUAGCUCUAGUUGAGCUAUGCCUUGUCAUGGUGGUAGUACUUGGUGUGCGCAGGGCUUCGGCUGUUGUCCUCCAUCGGCCGGCACACGGUGACGCGGGGCUCCUCCCAGAGCCACGCCUUGCUGAUCUCUAACACGUGCUCUUGGACGACCUUAAGGAGCAGGCGGACGCUCUUGUGAUGGUCAUGGUCUCCUGGAGUUCCCACGUCUUCCGGGGUGACGAGCACCAGCUGCUCGAGGACAGGAGCCCUGCGCAGGACGAACCUUUGUAGAAGUUAAUCAUGUUGUUUCUUUAGGAUUAGGAAAGAA
rnacentral:lncRNA from 1 species